rnacentral:rRNA from 1 species
GAUGAACGCUGGCGGCGUGCCUAAUACAUGCAAGUCGAGCGAACAGACGAGGAGCUUGCUCCUCUGACGUUAGCGGCGGACGGGUGAGUAACACGUGGAUAACCUACCUAUAAGACUGGGAUAACUUCGGGAAACCGGAGCUAAUACCGGAUAAUAUAUUGAACCGCAUGGUUCAAUAGUGAAAGACGGUUUUGCUGUCACUUAUAGAUGGAUCCGCGCCGCAUUAGCUAGUUGGUAAGGUAACGGCUUACCAAGGCGACGAUGCGUAGCCGACCUGAGAGGGUGAUCGGCCACACUGGAACUGAGACACGGUCCAGACUCCUACGGGAGGCAGCAGUAGGGAAUCUUCCGCAAUGGGCGAAAGCCUGACGGAGCAACGCCGCGUGAGUGAUGAAGGUCUUCGGAUCGUAAAACUCUGUUAUUAGGGAAGAACAAAUGUGUAAGUAACUGUGCACAUCUUGACGGUACCUAAUCAGAAAGCCACGGCUAACUACGUG